AAUCCAUGGUGAGGACAUUCUCUGCGAUAGUCAAUGAAGCGCUCCCAUGCGUCGCAGAAUGGCUCAUCAGUGAGUUGUCUGAAGGAGGUGAUCUUGUUCCUCAAUGCGGCU
rfam:Brassica oleracea var. oleracea cultivar TO1000 chromosome C4, whole genome shotgun sequence